ensembl:lncRNA
CUACCUUUCUACCAACGUUUAACUCCACUUUAAAUUCGCCAAACCAGUUAAUGCAUCUCUACCGAUUAGAUUAGCGGACAUUGAUUCGAUUCUGGCUUGAAACAAAAAUCUACUGGAGGGUAAAUUUCCAAGAGGAUUAAUGAUUAUCGUUGGAGCUGGCACAGACUGUCCAAAGAACAGGGGAGGAAAAUUAAAAUGGCGCCUGGAGGACAUUAUCUCUUGAACUGAUUCAUCCUAGGGAGGAGUCUGACGCGGUGUUUUGAGAGACAGAGAGCACAUUCUUCAGUGACUUGGAUUUGAAAAAGGAACGCCACACAGAGCGGCUCCUUUACUGUAAACGAAUGCAGGGUCCUGAUGAGUGAUGAGUGCAUGGGAAGGAGAUAACACUUUGGAUGAAGUCUUGAAGGUGCACCCACUAGUGGCUGGUUUCUGUUGGAAGAACUGGCAUGACGUAAUCCAGCUGUGCUGCAGACCGUGACAGAGAAGACAGCCUUCCUCUGAGACCACUCCAUCAUACGCAUGAAGUCAUUUUACAAAUGCUUUUAAGAUCUUUCCUGCGUAGCGUCCACACUUAUGAACAAUCACCUUCAGGCUGUUGAUAGUAAAAUACAAAAAAUGUAUAUAUAUAUAAACAUCCUCAACUAUUACAAUUUAAAAUAAAUCAUUAUCCUGAUUUCUGCUGAUUUCAAAAUUCUCACGUCUCUGGUGGAUCUUCACAGAUUUUCUAAACAUAAAAUCUCCAAUGAAGUGUCAAACAUUGCGCGCUGAAUCUAACAAA